rnacentral:rRNA from 1 species
CAUGUGUAUCAGUGAAAUCCGUAGAUAUCUGGAGGUACACUGGUGGCGAAGGCGCCCAACUGGAUGAGUACUGACGAUGAGUUAUGAAAGCGUGGGUAGCAAACAGGAUUAGAUAUCCUGGUAUUUCACGCUGUCAAUGAUGCAUCUUAGAUGUCGGGAUUCUAUUUCGGUGUCGCACAUAACGCGUUCAAUAUCACGCCUGCGGAGUACGGUCGCAAGGUCGAAACUCAAAGGAAUUGACGGGGGCCCGCACAAGCGGUGCAGUAUGUGGUUUAAUUCGUUGCAACGUGAAGAACCUCACCUAGGCUUGCCAUCCUGAGAACCCUCCCUAAACGAAGGGGUGCCCUUCUGAGAAUUCAGUGACAGGUGCAGCAUGGUUGUCCUCAGCUCCUGCCGUGAGGUGUUGGGUUAAGUUCCUCAACGAGCGCAACCCCUAUUGCUAGUUGCCAUCACAUAAUGGUGGGCACUCCAGUGAGACUUCCCGGGUCAACCGGGAGGAAGGUGGGGACGCCGUCAAGUC